rnacentral:rRNA from 1 species
UUAAGCGAACAAGCGUACACGGUGGAUGCCCUGGCAGUCAGAGGCGAUGAAGGACGUGCUAAUCUGCGAAAAGCGCCGGUAAGGUGAUAUGAACCGUUAUAACCGGCGAUGUCCGAAUGGGGAAACCCGGUGCACUUCGGUGCAUCAUCGUUAGCUGAAUACAUAGGCUAACGAGGCGAACCGGGGGAACUGAAACAUCUAAGUACCCCGAGGAAAAGAAAUCAACCGAGAUUCCCCCAGUAGCGGCGAGCGAACGGGGAACAGCCCAGAGCCUGAAUCAGCUUGUGUGUCAGUGGAACGGUCUGGAAAGGCCGGCGAUACAGGGUGACAGCCCCGUACACGAAGGCACACAGGCUGUGAGCUCGAUGAGUAGGGCGGGACACGUGAUAUCCUGUCUGAAGAUGGGGGGACCAUCCUCCAAGGCUAAAUACUCCUGACUGACCGAUAGUGAACCAGUACCGUGAGGGAAAGGCGAAAAGAACCCCGGCGAGGGGAGUGAAACAGAACCUGAAACCGUGUACGUACAAGCAGUGGGAGCCUUCGUAAGAGGGUGACUGCGUACCUUUUGUAUAAUGGGUCAGCGACUUAUAUUCUGUAGCAAGGUUAACCGUAUAGGGGAGCCGAAGGGAAACCGAGUCUUAAUUGGGCGUUAAGUUGCAGGGUAUAGACCCGAAACCCGGUGAUCUAGCCAUGGGCAGGUUGAAGGUUGGGUAACACUAACUGGAGGACCGAACCGACUAAUGUUGAAAAAUUAGCGGAUGACCUGUGGCUGGGGGUGAAAGGCCAAUCAAACCGGGAGAUAGCUGGUUCUCCCCGAAAGCUAUUUAGGUAGCGCCUCGUGAACUCAUCUCCGGGGGUAGAGCACUGUUUCGGCUAGGGGGCCAUCCCGGCUUACCAACCCGAUGCAAACUGCGAAUACCGGAGAAUGUUAUCACGGGAGACACACGGCGGGUGCUAACGUCCGUCGUGAAGAGGGAAACAACCCAGACCGCCAGCUAAGGUCCCAAAGUCAUGGUUAAGUGGGAAACGAUGUGGGAAGGCCCAGACAGCCAGGAUGUUGGCUUAGAAGCAGCCAUCAUUUAAAGAAAGCGUAAUAGCUCACUGGUCGAGUCGGCCUGCGCGGAAGAUGUAACGGGGCUAAACCAUGCACCGAAGCUGCGGCAGCGACGCUUAUGCGUUGUUGGGUAGGGGAGCGUUCUGUAAGCCUGCGAAGGUGUGCUGUGAGGCAUGCUGGAGGUAUCAGAAGUGCGAAUGCUGACAUAAGUAACGAUAAAGCGGGUGAAAAGCCCGCUCGCCGGAAGACCAAGGGUUCCUGUCCAACGUUAAUCGGGGCAGGGUGAGUCGACCCCUAAGGCGAGGCCGAAAGGCGUAGUCGAUGGGAAACAGGUUAAUAUUCCUGUACUUGGUGUUACUGCGAAGGGGGGACGGAGAAGGCUAUGUCGGCCGGGCGACGGUUGUCCCGGUUUAAGCGUGUAGGCUGACUUUCCAGGCAAAUCCGGAAAGUUAAGGCUGAGGCGUGAUGACGAGGCACUACGGUGCUGAAGUGACAAAUGCCCUGCUUCCAGGAAAAGCCUCUAAGCAUCAGGUAACAUCAAAUCGUACCCCAAACCGACACAGGUGGUCAGGUAGAGAAUACCAAGGCGCUUGAGAGAACUCGGGUGAAGGAACUAGGCAAAAUGGUGCCGUAACUUCGGGAGAAGGCACGCUGACAUGUAGGUGAAGCCCCUGCGGGUGGAGCUGAAGUCAGUCGAAGAUACCAGCUGGCUGCAACUGUUUAUUAAAAACACAGCACUGUGCAAACACGAAAGUGGACGUAUACGGUGUGACGCCUGCCCGGUGCCGGAAGGUUAAUUGAUGGGGUUAUCGCAAGAGAAGCUCCUGAUCGAAGCCCCGGUAAACGGCGGCCGUAACUAUAACGGUCCUAAGGUAGCGAAAUUCCUUGUCGGGUAAGUUCCGACCUGCACGAAUGGCGUAAUGAUGGCCAGGCUGUCUCCACCCGAGACUCAGUGAAAUUGAACUCGCUGUGAAGAUGCAGUGUACCCGCGGCAAGACGGAAAGACCCCGUGAACCUUUACUACAGCUUGACACUGAACAUUGAGCCUUGAUGUGUAGGAUAGGUGGGAGGCU